rnacentral:tRNA from 1 species
GUAGCUAUAGUUCAGUGGUAGAGCAUGUAGUUAGCAGUUAUGAGGCCUUGGGUUCAACCCAAUACCAACC